GACGUAGGAUGCGAGCGUUUGUCCGGAUUUAUUGGGCGUAAAGAGUUCGUAGGUGGUUCAUUAAGUUUGGUGUUAAAGACCGGGGCUCAACCUCGGGACCGCACUGGAUACUGGUGGACUAGAGUGCAGUAGAGGCAAGCGGAAUUCCAGGUGUAGCGGUGAAAUGCGUAGAUAUCUGGAAGAACACCGGUGGCGCAAGCGGGCUUGCUGGGGCUGUAACUGACACUGAGGGAACGAAAAGCUAGGGGUAGCCGAAAUGGG
rnacentral:rRNA from 1 species